rnacentral:misc_RNA from 1 species
UCCUUCUUAUCGAAGGCAGUUUUCGAAGAGUGCAUCCCUUACGGGAUUAGCAACAUCGAAUAGGGGUUGCGCUCGUUGCGGGACUUAACCCAACAUCUCACGACACGAGCUGACGACAACCAUGCAGCACCUCUGCUCGCUCCCUUGCGGGUCAGCCAAAGUUUCCAAUGGCUUACCACGAGUAGUUCAAGCCCAGGUAAGGUUCUUCGCGUUGCGUCGAAUUAAACCACAUGCUCCACCGCUUGUGCGGGCCCCCGUCAAUUCCUUUGAGUUUCACCGUUGCCGGCGUACUCCCCAGGUGGAUUACUUAUCGCUUUCGCUAAGCCGCGUACUGUAUAUCGCACACAGCGAGUAAUCAACGUUUACAGUGUGGACUAC